GCAAGACACCCUCUAUCUUCCCCUACACUCGACCGCAGCGGAUAAUAUAUCUUCGUCUUCAACUCCUUAUUGAAUUAUAAUAUUUGCAGGAGAAGAACAAUCACACAACAUCCAAUUCAACAUACAAGAAACUGCCUGCACUUUCUCUCUCUAAAAAAAAAUUGUCUCUCUAAACUGAUACGGUCUGAUUGAAGAGAUAUAUAAAAUUAGGUUCGAUUCUUAUGAACAUUUUGAUAUUUCUGAAGUUUUAAUUGUUCUGAUUUAAAAGGUUGAUAAAUUCGUAUGGGUAGUCUUAUUAUU
rnacentral:lncRNA from 1 species